rnacentral:rRNA from 1 species
AGUGAACGCUGGCGGUAGGCCUAACACAUGCAAGUCGAACGGCAGCACAGUAAGAGCUUGCUCUUAUGGGUGGCGAGUGGCGGACGGGUGAGGAAUACAUCGGAAUCUACCUUUUCGUGGGGGAUAACGUAGGGAAACUUACGCUAAUACCGCAUACGACCUACGGGUGAAAGCAGGGGAUCUUCGGACCUUGCGCGAUUGAAUGAGCCGAUGUCGGAUUAGCUAGUUGGUGAGGUAAUGGCUCACCAAGGCGACGAUGCGUAGCCGACCUGAGAGGGUGAUCGGCCACACUGGGACUGAGACACGGCCCAGACUCCUACGGGAGGCAGCAGUAGGGAAUCUUCCGCAAUGGACGAAAGUCUGACGGAGCAACGCCGCGUGAACGAAGAAGGCCUUCGGGUCGUAAAGUUCUGUUGUUAGGGAAGAACAAGUACCAGAGCAACUGCUGGUACCUUGACGGUACCUAACCAGAAAGCCACGGCUAACUACGUGCCAGCAGCCGCGGUAAUACGUAGGUGGCAAGCGUUGUCCGGAAUUAUUGGGCGUAAAGCGCGCGCAGGUGGUUCCUUAAGUCUGAUGUGAAAGCCCACGGCUCAACCGUGGAGGGUCAUUGGAAACUGGGGAACUUGAGUGCAGAAGAGGAAAGUGGAAUUCCAAGU